CACGGUCCAGACUCCUACGGGAGGCAGCAGUGGGGAAUAUUGCACAAUGGGCGCAAGCCUGAUGCAGCCAUGCCGCGUGUAUGAAGAAGGCCUUCGGGUUGUAAAGUACUUUCAGCGGGGAGGAAGGCGAUAAGGUUAAUAACCUUGUCGAUUGACGUUACCCGCAGAAGAAGCACCGGCUAACUCCGUGCCAGCAGCCGCGGUAAUACGGAGGGUGCAAGCGUUAAUCGGAAUUACUGGGCGUAAAGCGCACGCAGGCGGUCUGUCAAGUCGGAUGACGCUUGACUCUGAAGCGGGAAAGCGUAAUAUGCACACCCCGCGCCGCAGCGAAAACGAAGCGGCACUGCUCUUUAACAAUUUAUCAGACAAUCUGUGUGGGCACUCAAAGUGACAUGGAUUCUUAAUGUCCUCGGACACUAAAUGAAUACCAAGUCUCAACGAGUGAACACGUAAUUCAUUACGAAGUUUAAUUCAUUGAGCAUCAAACUUUUAAAUUGAAGAGUUUGAUCAUGGCUCAGAUUGAACGCUGGCGGCAGGCCUAACA
rnacentral:rRNA from 1 species